UGGAAAAGUUCGUACAGAUUUGCUCUGCCAGCAUAAACAUGUAAUUGGAGAGUGGCCCACAUUAGAUGGGAACUCUUUAUUACUGCCUCAUAAACUACAAAAGCAGGAAUUUUGAAGAUGAUGGAUUUGAAGCAAGUUGGUCGCAACUAUUACAACGAGAAUGAGGCCACGGAGUUCCUCAAUCACCAGACAUUUUAAGCUGAAGAGCGUGGAUGUAAAGCUGCUUGGCCAGCAUCAUCUUAGGAGUCCU